UAGAGUUUGAUCCUGGCUCAGAACGAACGCUGGUGGCAGGCUUAAUACAUGCAAGUCGAACGAACCUUCGGGUGAGUGGCGCACGGGUGAGUAACACGUGGGAACGUACCCUUCACUGCGGAACAACGUCGGGAAACUGACGCUAAUACCGCAUAAUGUCUCCGGACCAAAGAUUUAUCGGUGAAGGAUCGGCCCGCGUUAGAUUAGGUUGUUGGUGGGGUAAUGGCCUACCAAGCCUACGAUCUAUAGCUGGUCUUAGAGGAUGAUCAGCCACACUGGGACUGAGACACGGCCCAGACUCCUACGGGAGGCAGCAGUAAGGAAUAUUGGACAAUGGGCGCAAGCUUGAUCCAGCCAUGCCGCGUGAGUGACGAAGGCCUUAGGGUUGUAAAGCUCUUUCAGGUGCGAAGAUAAUGACUGUAACACCAGAAGAAGCCCCGGCUAAAUUCGUGCCAGCAGCCGCGGUAAUACGAAUGGGGCGAGCGUUGUUCGGAAUCACUGGGCGUAAAGCGUAUGCAGGCGGACAUGCAAGUCAGAAGUGAAAUCCCAGGGCUUAACCCUGGAAUGGCUUUUGAAACUGCAUGUCUAGAGUCU
rnacentral:rRNA from 1 species